rnacentral:rRNA from 1 species
AGAGUUUGAUCCUGGCUCAGAUUGAACGCUGGCGGCAGGCUUAACACAUGCAAGUCGAGCGGGGAAGGGUAGCUUGCUACCUGACCUAGCGGCGGACGGGUGAGUAAUGCUUAGGAAUCUGCCUAUUAGUGGGGGACAACAUUCCGAAAGGAAUGCUAAUACCGCAUACGCCCUACGGGGGAAAGCAGGGGAUCUUCGGACCUUGCGCUAAUAGAUGAGCCUAAGUCAGAUUAGCUAGUUGGUGGGGUAAAGGCCUACCAAGGCGACGAUCUGUAGCGGGUCUGAGAGGAUGAUCCGCCACACUGGGACUGAGACACGGCCCAGACUCCUACGGGAGGCAGCAGUGGGGAAUAUUGGACAAUGGGCGAAAGCCUGAUCCAGCCAUGCCGCGUGUGUGAAGAAGGCCUUUUGGUUGUAAAGCACUUUAAGCGAGGAGGAGGCUACCGAGAUUAAUACUCUUGGAUAGUGGACGUUACUCGCAGAAUAAGCACCGGCUAACUCUGUGCCAGCAGCCGCGGUAAU